rnacentral:rRNA from 1 species
UACAGAGGGUGCAAGCGUUAAUCGGAGUUACUGGGCGUAAAGGGCGCGUAGGCGGUCAUUUAAGUUAGAUGUGAAAUCCCUGGGCUUAACCUAGGAACUGCAUCUAAUACUGGGUGACUGGAGUAUUGUAGAGGGUAGUGGAAUUUCCGGUGUAGCGGUGAAAUGCGUAGAGAUCGGAAGGAACACCAGUGGCGAAGGCGGCUACCUGGACAAAUACUGACGCUGAGGCGCGAGAGCGUGGGGAGCAAACAGG